UACGGAGGGUGCAAGCGUUAUCCGGAUUCACUGGGUUUAAAGGGUGUGUAGGCGGACAGUUAAGUCAGCGGUGAAAUCUCCGGGCUCAACCCGGAAACUGCCAUUGAUACUAUCUGUCUUGAAUAUUGUUGAGGUGGGCGGAAUAUGUCAUGUAGCGGUGAAAUGCUUAGAUAUGACAUAGAACACCGAUUGCGAAGGCAGCUCACUAAACAAUGAUUGACGCUGAGGCACGAAAAGCGUGGG
rnacentral:rRNA from 1 species